UCCUACGGGGGGCAGCAACUAGGAAUAUUGGACAAUGGGGGAAACCCUGAUCCAGCGACGACGCGUGGAGGAUGAAGGUCUUCGGAUUGUAAACUUCUUUUGUAUGGAAACAAGCCGCAAGGUGAGGGUACCAUACGAAUAAGCAGCGGCUAACUACGUGCCAGCAGCAGCGGUUAAACGUAGGCUGCAAACGUUAUCCGGAAUCAUUGGGCGUAAAGAGAUGCGUAGGCGUUUUGACAAGUUCUUGGUGAAAGCUCCCAGCUCAACUGGGAAACUGCUGGGAAAACUGUCAGAAUAGAGUGGGGGAAAGGUGAUUAGAACUCCUGGAGGAGUAGUAAAAUGCGUUGAUACCAGGAAGAAUACCAAUGGCGAAGGCAAUUCACUAGCCCUAAAAAACGUAUUAAUAAAUUACUGGGUUUAGUCCUUAGUAAUUUGUUAAUACUACACUGACGCUAAGGCUCGAAAGCGUGGGGAGCGAAACGGAUUAGAUACCCUAGUAGUC
rnacentral:rRNA from 1 species